rnacentral:lncRNA from 1 species
GGACAUUAUGCAUUUGACUUAGGCAAAUAUCCUAAGUUGAGGGUGGCUACCAUAGGGGUGCGUGAUGUAAAAUGAGUAUGAAGAAAGGUGGAAUAAAAGAAAAAAAUAAAAAGCUAGGUGUGGUGGGAAAAGAAUAAGAAAAGAAAAGUGCUGAAAAACAAGAAAUGAUUAGCAAAAAGACCGUACCUAUCCGGAUUAUGUGUGAUCAAGAAAGGAGAGAAUUAGGUAAAGGUAAAUAAGUG